rnacentral:rRNA from 1 species
AUUGAACGCUGGCGGCAGGCCUAACACAUGCAAGUCGAGCGGAUGAAGGGAGCUUGCUCCUGGAUUCAGCGGCGGACGGGUGAGUAAUGCCUAGGAAUCUGCCUGGUAGUGGGGGAUAACGUCCGGAAACGGGCGCUAAUACCGCAUACGUCCUGAGGGAGAAAGUGGGGGAUCUUCGGACCUCACGCUAUCAGAUGAGCCUAGGUCGGAUUAGCUAGUUGGUGGGGUAAAGGCCUACCAAGGCGACGAUCCGUAACUGGUCUGAGAGGAUGAUCAGUCACACGGAACUUGAUGCCCGGCCCGGCCCCCGCGGGGUGCAGGCGUGGGGAAUUUUUGCACAUGGGGCGAAGGCUGGACCCCCCCUUCCCGGUUGGGUGAAGAGGUUUUGCGAGUUUAAAGCUUUUUUAGUUGGGGAGGGGGGAAAGAAAUUAAAUCCCUUCUUGUUUUCCGUUCCCCAACAAAACAGCCCCGGCCCCCCUCGGUC